UACGUAGGGUCCGAGCGUUGUCCGGAUUUAUUGGGCGUAAAGAGCUCGUAGGCGGCUUGUCGCGUCGACUGUGAAAUCCCGCGGCUCAACCGCGGGUCUGCAGUCGAUACGGGCAGGCUAGAGUUCGGUAGGGGAGACUGGAAUUCCUGGUGUAGCGGUGAAAUGCGCAGAUAUCAGGAGGAACACCGAUGGCGAAGGCAGGUCUCUGGGCCGAUACUGACGCUGAGGAGCGAAAGCGUGGGGAGCGAACAGG
rnacentral:rRNA from 1 species